rnacentral:tRNA from 1 species
GUGGGAAUAGCUCAGUGGUAGAGCACAUGCUUAGCAUGCAGAAGGCCCUGGGUUCAAUCCCCAGUACCACCA